GACUCUCGGCAACGGAUAUCUUGGCUCUCGCAUCGAUGAAGAACGUAGCGAAAUGCGAUACUUGGUGUGAAUUGCAGAAUCCCGUGAACCAUCGAGUCUUUGAACGCAAGUUGCGCCCGAGGCUAUCCGGCCGAGGGCACGCC
rnacentral:rRNA from 1 species